rnacentral:rRNA from 1 species
UACGGAGGGUGCAAGCGUUAUCCGGAUUCACUGGGUUUAAAGGGAGCGUAGGUGGCCUUAUAAGUCAGUGGUGAAAUCUCUCAGCUUAACUGAGAAAUUGCCAUUGAUACUGUAGGGCUUGAGUAUAGUUGCCGUUGGCGGAAUAUGACAUGUAGUGGUGAAAUACAUAGAGAUGUCAUAGAACACCGAUUGCGAAGGCAGCUGACGAAACUAUAACUGACACUGAGGCUCGAAAGUGCGGGGAUCAAACAGG